UAACCAAAGAAAAAACAACUGCCAGAGGAAUCACAUUCACAUCAAUGCUUUAAUAUUGAAUUGAAACCGUAAAAUGUUGUGAUAUACAUGGAUACUAAUUGCUCAAACCAAGGAAUUCUGUGAAGCUUGGAUACUUCGGUUGCCACCCAAUCUCAGCACGAGUUUUGGAAUUCUCCAUCCUCUUCCCUAAAGGACCAUCAGGACUACCUGUGAAGCCUUGAAACUUCGUAUCAAAUUUCCCACUUCUAUUAACAAGAUGAAGUUUGUAGUUACCUAGAUAGAGGCUGAUUGUCACAACCAACAAAAACACGAGCACGUAGUCUCCUUUUCAUAAUGGCAAUUGCAAGAGAAGCAGCAUCUUCAUAGUGUAUCAGAUUGAGUAUGUGAUCUGGACGUGAAUCAAAAGUUCCCUUCGAUAACCAAAAAAUGUGAGGACCUUUAUCACUCUUGUGUGGUAUGUCAAGGAGAUAUAACAGUUAUGUCCAUUCUAUUACAGAAGUGUAUGGGGGCACAGGUAUAUUUAAUAAUAUUUUUGCAUUAAGUUUUGAAACAAAGUCGCCUCUUAGUAAGGAUAUAUAAAGUCCUACAAGCCGGAGAACACUUCCUCCUGCCUCAAGGACGGCAUUUUCAGCUUUUAGGAGCACAUCAGUACGAGGGCUCCUACCAAUUGGCACACAAGGAGAAUCCUCACUACACAAUCCAUUGUCACUGCAGUCAUACACAGCAGUGCUCGAUGUAAACAGGAAAGAGCCUUGUCCAUUCCAGUUUGAUGCUGCCACUCUGCACAUAUUUUAUGAAAUAAGAACGUUCAUGUCCUUG
rnacentral:sRNA from 1 species